rnacentral:lncRNA from 1 species
CCCGGCGACUGCGGGCGCUGCGGUCCACUGGGUCCGCCUCUUCCCGGCAUGGGUUUCUGCCCAGCUCACCCGCUGUCAGCUGGGGUCCUGCUCUGGUGGGAGGAAGAGGCUCAGACGCUUCCCUGCCCUCUCGCCUCAACCACCUCGAGGCAGCGGCUCCCAGGAUGUGCACUUUGACGACUAAAGCUGAGCCGGCGCCGCCACGACCUUGGGCGGGUGGUCGGCCUCUGCCCUGAGCAGGAAGUAGAAAGUCUCAGCAGACCCUUCCUGAGGGCCGAGCAACAGUGUAGUGGCGUAUUCCACAUAGCAAACAGAUGUACACUAGAUUUUGAUGGCAUUUUUCCAGGGACCCUGGGAGCAUCUGUGUUCUCGUGUUCUUCUUGCCUGUGAGGCCUCUUCUCUCUGAGGACAGAUGGUAGGACAGAGAGAAGACAGCAAAUGGAAAACAAAGGCUGCUAUUUUUUUGUGGGAGAAAAAGUCAUGUGAUGACACACCAAGAAGGUGGCUGUCUGCAAGCCAGGAAGAGAGGCCUUACCAGAAACCAAUCCUGGUGCACCUUAAUCUCAAACUUGAGCCUCCAGGACUGUACGAAAAUAAAUAUUUGUUGUGUAAGCACCCCCAGUGUAUGCUAUUCUGUUAUGGCAGCCCUAGCACACUAAUAUAAAUGCCUACUGCCUGCAAAGUGCUUUGCCUUUGAGGGUUGCAAAAGAGGAUCCCCUCCAGGGAUCCAUGGUCUCAUUGGGAUUUUCCUGUUUGGUCUGUGUCCUGUUCUUGAGUCUCCGCAGGCAGCAUUUCUUCCUGUGACAAUAUGGUGUAAGACAAAAUUGUGGCCUGCCAUGAAGUUGUGAGAGAAAAGCAUCCCUCAUUUCUUCAGGAAAGGCCACUGCCGUUCCCUCCGGCUCCUCUUCUCAGGAGUUUGUGCAUUCAUGAGGUGAAUUCCUUGGAAGAUGAGGGCCAAGUCUUAUUCUUCUCAGUCUCUUCUGCAUCUAGCAGAAGAAUAAUGGUUGCACAGAAAAUCUUGGUUCAGUGGUUGAGUGAAUGAAUGGAUGAACAGGCUCUUGCACACAAAGAAGAGACAUGAUGUAUUUGCAUCCUUCCCUGCUUCAGCCAGGUCCCCAGACAGUCCCGGUGUGCACACUUCCCUGCUUCUGUUCAUGAUGUUCUCUGAACCUGGGAUCACCUUUCCCCUUCCUCUUACCUGCCCGAUCCUACUUGUCCUCCCAGAUUCAGUUUUCUGAAGCUCAGAGGGACACCUUGUAUUGCUGGAUGAUAAAAACAGGAGCAAAGUGAUGAAGUGCUGACAAGGCAACAAUAGAACAUGAGAGAUUCACUGCUGUGUAGGAAGAGAUCUUCGGUGACCAUGUAGCCUGAAGCUCUCAUUUUGUCAUCGAGGGACACCAAAACUCAGAACAGUGCUAAGCUCCUACAUCCUGUUCUGGAAGGACAAUCCUGAGCACACGAUGAGCCAUAUAAACUUCAGACUGACGCUGAGUGAAAGAAUGCUGGAAAAGCAUCACAGGCCAGGGCAGCAAAGUCUUCAAGGUCAUCCGUGCUCUGAUGAUGUCACGCUUCUUCCCUGUCUGGAAGACAUUUCCCCAAGAGCAUACCACCAACAUCAGGGAAAUGGAAUCCAACUGGUCGCUGCAAAGUUUGCUGAGCACACAGUGAUAAAGAUGGCAAGAAGGUCCUGAGAGAAACGCAAUAUUUUUGUGCAGAAUGGGAUGUUCUGCCUUUGUCCCAUGCUUUGAAAUUUACCACAUGAAAAAUAAAAUUAAAUACUGAUCAUCAUAUACGUUUCUGUUAUAUUAGGAUUAGAGACAAGUUCUGUUUAGAAAUAACUCCAAGAACAGUUUUUAUAUUUUGUUUUCACAUUGAAAAAUCAGUCAGAUUUGCUUUAGCUUCAAGGAACGUGUUUAUGUAAAAUUAAAUGAGCGCUGGCAGUGAGCUAGCUGCAGAUUUUUUUUUUCUAAAUGGGAUAUAGGACAGAAAGAUGCGUUCGCGGCCAUGACCAGGCUCUGGGUACUUUACAAAUGCCCAGUGGCUGGGCAUGGAAGGAAUACAUUGCUGGGGGAAGUUAAAACCUAGGGCUUUCUCGCCUGUUGUCUUCCUGUUCCCGUAAGUCCAGCAAUGGCUCAAACCAAUAGUGUAGCCAAAAAACAAAAGGCCCUGAUAAGGAAAGCCAGGGGUUGGGGGACACCUCAGAAAAACAGAGCAGGGGAGGUCAGAAGACCUUGGAGGCAGAAAUUCUGUAGGAUACUGACAAGAGGCCAAACUGGCAGCCAAGAGAGGUAGCUGAGGCUCUGAGAGACAAGGCAGAUGGAGCCCCUGAGCCUGGGGGUCCCUGGCUCUUCUCUAUUAAAUAUUCCUCCAAGAAAGCAACUGAUAAAGGGAGGUCAGGAGUGGCCACAGAAAAGACAAAGGCUGGGCCUAAGACUGAAGUUCCUACAGGCAACAUGGUGACUUCUGCCAACCCACUGGAAUGUCUGGAAGAAAUAAAGGCCCUAGUCAGGAAUCAGGCAUCUGAUUGGAGAUAUGAUCUGAUAUGCAGAAGCCAGAAGAUACUGUCCCUGGCAGGGGAGAGUGGUGACCGCCCAAUAGACGUCCCACACACUUCUUUUGGCCAACUGGUAAGGGAGAAUGCUGUGGUUAACAGGAGGAUCUCACCAACCCUGGGAGAGGGUCUGGGAAGCAUGAACAGAACAGGUGGAGGUGAGUGGGUCCCACCAAAGAUGGGCAGCAAAGGCCCUGGGGCUACCUCAGUGGGAUCUGCCAUUAAACAUCUGUGGGACUCUUUCUGUAUAUCUUGAAGGUGGAAGCUAAGUCUCUGAACACCCACUGCGGACAGCAGUGAGAACCACCACCUGGGGUGAGCUACCUUCAUCUCUAGUGGUGGCAUAAAGUCUGAGGAAGAUUGGAGACCCAGAAAGAAGGAAAGAGAAAUUGGAGAAGAAUUCCUCCUUCUGGUCCUAAAACUCUGAACUGGGAGAGAGACAGGCUAUGGGAGAAGAUUGAGAUGGAUUAGAGAAUUCCUCUUAAGGACCUCUUCCCUAGCCCCAACCCCAAACAUGGAAAGAAAGGAAGAUCCUGAGUUCCUUCAAGGGAAAUUCUAGGCACCUAGCUAGUUCUGAGAAGUAAAUAAGCAACUUGAAAAGCAAGAAGGUAACAGUAGCUUAAAACAAUAGCCAGGGAAGCUAGAAUCACAGAAUGUUUCGUUCCCCUACAAAAACUAAAGAUAACAUCUUACCAUGUCUCUGAGUUGCUUCUCAGAAACUGGGACCCCCCACCACAUGGAUCUUCUUGCAUGUAGACCUCAGAUAAGGGGGAAUUGGGGACUGAACUCAGCACUGUUCUUUGUUCUAAAUUUCUUUCUGAGAGGCCUGGAGGAAGUCAUAACCAACCAGAGUAACAUUCUUUUGCACUGACCCCAAAUUUUUAAACAAAACUUCUCUUCUUUAACCAAUUACAGAAAAUCUUUGAAUCUAACUAUGACCUGUGAGCCCCCUGCUUCAACAUAUCCCACCCUUUUCGGCCAAAAUCAAUAUGCGGGUGUUCAGAGACUUAGCUAAAUCAGUAUUGAUUUGUGGUUUUGUCUGUAACUUCUGCUUUCCUGAAAUUUAUGCCUGCCUUUAAAAAUCUUUACCUACAAGCCAUAUGGGGAAGGCUGGGACUUAAGCAUUAGCUGCUCGAUCCUCCUUGCCUGGCACCCUGCAAAUAAAUACCUUCCUUUUUCCUGCUAUGAACCUUGGUGUGGGUAUCUGGUCUUACUGUGCUGAGCCAAUGGACCCCAGUUUGGUUCUAUAACAAGAUAAUGGUUAUUUUCACACUUACACAGUAGAGAGCCUCACUGCCUUAGGAGCAGAUACUCCUGAGGCAAGGCAGAUCCCAAAGAUGCUAGGAUGAACUAGCUGAGUUUGUCUAGGAUAUGCCACAUACAUGGCACCCAGAGAAUCCUACCUUGUCCUAUAAGAUGCAUAAAGAUGGGCUCAAAUACCAAUUCAAAGACCUGUGGACAAGAAAAAUCACCCCUACAAUAUCCACAAAUUCUAAAAAGACUUGCUUGUUGUCAGCCUUGGCUUUUGAGUUCCUGCUUCCACUGAAUUAGUUCAGUUUCUGACUCAGCUCUUCAGUCUGUAGAUGUUGUCUUUGUUUUACAUCAAAGUGACCCACAUGUGGGACUUGGCCUAUACACUUGACUUCCACUAAAAAAGCCACUCGUACUCAAUGUGAAUGCCUGUAAAGCAGACUGUCCUGAAGGGGUUAGGAAGCUGUGGAGAUAGUUACAUCAGAACAGAGCAAAUGACUUUGGAAUCUGAAGCAGACCUCCUUGUUCUUAGCAGUUUUUUGGCCUCUCAACCACGUGGCUUGCCAUCUUUCUUCUUUCUCCAUCACCCUCCCAAUAAAUCUUUUCUGUUCAAGUUCCAUUGAAUUCUAAUUCAGAAAAGUUUAAUUAUCUUCUAAUGAGCUUGUCUUCAGCUAAGUCAUGAUUCAGGGUCUCACCUUCUAACCCCAGAUGUUUAUCAGGGUCUUUUCUUUAACAAAGACAGUCCUCUCUGAGAAGAGGGUUAUAAUUUUUUUCACUCCAUUAAGCCUGAAUGAAGGUUGACUACAGAAGAGAAAGGAUGCUGCUUUUCUUUGCUGACCUGGGAGAAGAUAGACUUUUUUAGCCCCUGUGAAAUCUGUGAAGGUGGUUCAAGAAGCAAAGAUUGAAGGAUGAGGUCUUCACCCUUCCUCUACCUGGAGAAGUUUUCCUUGUGCUGGUGAGAGAAGACAUGUGCUUACUUUAUCUUCUCCAAAGAGCAGGGAAUGACUUUGAACUUGAGGUGGGUGCUUUUUCCAGAGCAGAUGUUAAUCAAAGCAGCCAACCCUAGUUCUGGAAGUCAUCCUUGACAAGGCAUUUCUUUUAGUAAAAUUCAAACAAAAUUUAAACCUUCACUAAGAAAAGGAAACGGAGUGGUUCAGAGUUAUUGCUAUGACUAGUGUCUUGCUAAGCUACCCUAGAAAAAGGGAAAUGGACCACCUGUCCCCUCCAUUCUUUGCCCACUCUAGGAAAUACACAAAAGAAUAGAAAGGACUUAACAGUUGUUUACUGGCCAGUCUCUGUACUGAAUACUUUGGAUAUAUGAUCAAUCUAAUCUUCCGAGAGAAGAAUCUUCAAAAUUUCUCCAAGACAUUUGUCCCCAUUAUAUGUGUGAAAGGAAAAUAAAAACUCAGGAUCUCAAUUCACUAUGCCAAAGGAAAAAAAAUUAAGCUAAAAGCUGAGUCAUGCAAGAAGCUGCCUUUCUUUUUGUUUCUGAGCAGAUAGCUGCAGAUAAGAGGUUAAAUAUCUCCACAGGCAGUUAGUCUAUGUUCACUUUAUCUUAUGAAAAGUGCCAAUUUACUGAGCACAAGAUGAAUACAUAAUUGACUAUUCCUCUACCUGCUCCUUUUCUCUUGCAAUAUAGGGAUUACCAUACCCUUCCUCUUUCCCCUCCAGUCCACUUUUUCCCUUUAAAUAUUGAUGUCCUCAAAAUCACCUUUGGAGAAAGGCACAGACCACAGACUAUUUCUGUGGCUCUGUCUUUAUUUAUUCUGGGCAUGUCCUUAACCUUGACAAAAUAAACUUCUAAAUUGAUUGAGACCUGUCUCAGAUAUUUUUUGGCUUACAAAUUGGCGGCUGACGGAAGGGACUCUGAGAGGAGGUGCCCCUGACCUUUGACAAAUCUCUUACCAGUACUUGGUUCCAGCCUAGGUUAUCUUUGUUGCUCAAAGAUAAGACAAUUUUCUGAGGUCUGGGAGCAACUCCCUCUGGAGAAUCCCUGAUCACCCCAAAUUUGGUUGAGAUCUAAGGUUUAUUUUGAAGUACAACUCCUUUUCUGGAGUUUUACUCACUUCCAACAAAAAAGGCGAGUUUUCCUGUUUCCAUGACAAUGGAUGGCAGGCAACUCCUUUCUGGAGUUUCAGCUUGUAUCCAACAGGGAAGGUGAGUUUGAGUAUUUUACUGCUUCUAAAAUGGUAGAGAGGAGUAUUGAGCCUGGGCGCCACUCCUAGGUAAGUAGCUGAAUUGGAGUUUUGUCUUGAAAAUCCUGCUUAAUGACUAAGAGUUAAGAUUGACAACCAGCUGAUCUUAAUUUCCUUUUAACACUAAAGUGCUCAGUAAUCGCAUUGGUUUUGUUGUUGUUGUUGUUGUUUUGUUGUUUCCUUAUUAUUUUAGUCUUUCUCACAUUGGAUUCGACCAACUCUACCUUAUUUGGUCAAAUCCAAAUGAGAAUUUCAAGUUAUGGUGAACAAUGUUUUUGAAUUGGCUAAAACUCCUCACAGCUGCAAAAAAGAAGAAAGAAUCAUACGCUUGGUUUCGUUAGCAGCAGCAAAUCUAUAUGAGUAUGCAGCAACUUGAUUCUUGCCUCCUCAGAGGAAAGAAUUCGUCUGAGGGGCAUAAGGCAGAAUGAGAGACCACGGCAAGUUAUAAAGCAAGAGUGAAAGUUUAUUAAAAAGUAUUAGAGCAGGAAUGAAAGGAAGUAAAGUACGCUUGGAAGAGGGCCAAGAGGACAACUUGAGAGAUCCAAAUGUAAACUUGGGUUUUUUUAUGUUGGCAUGCUUCCGGGCUCUUGUGUCUCUUCUGCCCUGAUUCUUCCUUUGGGAUGGGACGUCCACAUGUGCAGCGGCCUCCCAGAACUUGGGAGGGGCCCCAGCCACAGUGUGUUUGCUGAAUUUUUGCGCAUGCUCACUUGAGGCGUUGUUCUCUUACCAGUAGAGUGUUCCUAGAGGAAGGUCAUAUCCCAGCUAAACUGCCAUUUUGCCUCUUAGCAUGCGCAUGCUUGACUCCACUCACCCAGCUCCUGAGAUCUUAUUGACAGCAGCUGAUCACCAGCUUCAGGUGUUUUCUAUCUAUUGGGAGACCACCUUUCCCUGCUGCUGGCUUUGACCAAUUGUUUUGGACAGACAGUUUAAUAACUGCCUGACCAUCACUUGACAGUCUCCUGGCAGUCCUGGUUGAGGGGUAGGGCACUGCCCUGCCUUGCUUAUGUCUGCCUAACUACCUACUCAAACAGGUUCUCUGUUCACUUCCUUUCUUAAAAGAUUGUUCUUUUGUUUACUUUUCUUCCAUUCUAUUCCUCCUUCCCCUUUUGCCAUCUUUGGUACCAAGCAAAUUCAAAACAAAACAUAGAGAAGGCUUCUAAUCAGACCCUUUAAAGAACUCAGAAUAAAGGUGCCACUCACCCUUUUUCGGGGUGUCCUGCUUUCUUUGUGGAGUUUCAAAAGUCACGGGCAGAUUUUUCUCAGGUCUAAAGCUCUGCUUUCUUGUAUUGCAUUACCUGAUGUCUUUGUCUUUGGUGGGGGUACCAGAGAUUACCUUGUACUGUGAGAGAAUUUGGCCUUGGUGUGUGUAGUGGUGGCAGAGAACCACAAUCUUAGGGAUGGCUAAGGACAGUUUAUAGGAAAUGGUCAUUACUACAGGGGGCUACUUAUUUCUUUGUACAUUUAAAUUAAGAAAAUUGUACAGGCUUUCUUGGCCCUAUUCCUUAAAGGGAUCUACCAUAAAGCUAGUAAUCUAAUCAAGCUAAAUUGAAAAUAACACCUAUCAAACUGAGUCACUUUAAUAAAAUUCUUUGCAAAGGAAAUUUACAUCUUUACAGGAAAUCUCCACUUAGUAAGAGCUUCUGGGUCCCUACAAUGGCUUGAAGUUCACAUAAAAGACAUUGCCUUUGUUUAGAUCUAAGCGUGUGCCUUUGAGAUGUACAUUUUCUACACUGUUUCACCUAAGUCAUGUCUUUGGGAUGCAAAUUUACAGUUGCCUCAUUAACAAUUGUUCAGGACAUGGAACAGAUAAUCAUGAGAUUAACAGUCUAAAAUAGAGAAAAGUUUUGAAAACAGGCAAAUGAGAACUUUUAAAUCUGUAAGAUCUGCCUCUGUCUGGGUGUCUAUUAUGUCUAUAUGUUCCUAUGUCUCAUGUGGAAAUAAUAUUUCACUAUCAAUUAUGUGAAAGAGCUCUAAUUAAUUGGCUUAAAGAAAAGUCAGUGUUCAUCAACUUAAUAGAAGCUAGCUCAGAGGCUUUUCAGUUCACAUGACUUUAGUAAUCUUUGGUAAGAUUAAUUUGGUAAAUUUUGUCUCAAAAUCCUCUCCAAUAAUUUAAAAUCUUAAAGGCAUGUUAAGUUAAAUUAAGUAAUCCUAGGUUUUUUACUGGGAAUUAGAGUUACUAAAAGUUAGAUUAGUAGGAUAGUAUGAUGUGUUUUUGGGGAAGUUUAUAAAAACAUGAGGAUGUGGUUUUUGCUUAAGAAAAUGUAAAUUUUUUUCUAGUUCAGAGGACCUUUCUACUGAUGUUGAGAGAAAAACCAUGUUCGCAUCCAACUGUUUUUUGGUAAACUGGUUAAGUUUGUAUUGGUAUCUCAUGGCUAGAGUUCUGAAGUAAAAGCUAUAGGAUCUUUAUUUGUAUGAGUGUGUGUGGGCUUAGGUGUGUUUAUGUAUACCUACAUGUGUAUUGUUAUGUUUAUGGCCACAAGGUACCAAACUGGCUUAAAAAUAAAGGAGAACUCACAAAUUCAGUAAAUAAGCCCAGUUGCUUUUCAAGUUAAUGUGACUUAAGUAGAGUUUUAAUAAAUAAACUGGCUUUAAAAUUAUUGGUAAAAUAAAAUUAGAAAUGUGUUCAGAAUCGCCAACAUACAUUAUUGUUUAGAUUUAUUGGUCAAGCAAUUUUAUAUUUUUUUCUCUUAAAUACUAUAAGGUGUCAAGAUUUGGCAUGAGGGUUGUAAAGCUAUAAAUGUAGCCCAAAAGAGAAUUAUAUUUGUGUAACUUUUCGAUAAAUAAAGCAUUUAAUAUUGUUGGUUUAAUGAAAAUAGCUAAAUCCUGAGUUAUUGACCAAAAAAAACCCAAAACAUUUAUUUAACCUUAAUAUUCUUACUUAAGUAAACACCUGAAAUUCACAGCCUAUAAAAAUUGUUAACAGGGAAAUAACUCUAAAUGAUGACCAUCACAGUUUUCAUAUGUAAUCUAGAUCAACUAUUUAAACAAAUUAAAUAGGCAAAUGUAAUAGAAUAAAUGCUUGUAAAUAAACUUGUCAUAUAAUUUAGAACCUAAAGUUAAAUUAAAUAAUAUAUAUUAAUUAAAUACCUGGGUCAUUUCCAAUUUUUUAAAUAAAAAUUAUAGAAAAUCAUUUUUCUAAAAAACAAUGUGUUCUUAUUAAAAGGAAACAAUUUUUGUCUAACUCAAAAGUUAUUUAAAGGUUGUUUAUAAAACAAGCUAAAGGGAACCAGUAAAUAAGAGAGAUGUAAAGAAAGUUAUACAUAUAAAGAGGUAUUUGGGGUAAGAAAGAUUAAAAGGAAAAUCAUUUUAUAUGAGAAAGGAUCUUGUAUGGUAAAUUUUUUGACCUAAAAUAAAAUAACUGGUUAUUUAAGAAAGAGUGAUAUUUAGGAUAAGACAGGACAUCUAAGCAUGUCAUAAAUGUUUGUGCAAGUUGGAAUAAGGGUUGUGAAAAGAGAAUUUAUUAAAAAGAACUUUAUGUGAUCAAAUUGGCUAUAAUUAAAAGGAAAUUAUAAUAUUCUUUGGUAUUUAACAAUACACUAACAAAUUAAAGAGUUGGUUGGAACAACAAAUUUAUCUGAAGGUAUUGAUUUAAUCUUAAUAAAAUUAUAAGAGCUUUUAACUUUUUUAACCCAAAAGUUCAACUUUUAUUGCAUGUCAUUAUUUUCAGUUUUCUCUUCCCUUUGAGAAGGCCUGAGACAAUAAUGUUCUCCUUCAACUUUUUCGUCAGCUCUUGUAAUUUUUUUCCUCAGGUUCUAACUUCCAUUGUGUCCUGAUACUAAAAAUGUUUUAUCUAAAUGGUCUAAAGGAAAUAUUUUCUUCCAAUAUAACAUUCUGUGCUCUUGGCUUUAAAUUCUUCUAUGAAAUUGAAAACUUUCACUUAUGACCCAGGACCUACUCUUCCUAUGUCUAACUAAUGCAAGUCCUAGGAAAACCAAGAUUUAAAAACAUUAAGGUUAUUAUAUCCAUGUAACUCUCUGUGUUGCUUUUGAAGUCCUGUGCUGUUAAGUUACAGGGCUUUUACUUUUGGAUCUAGAGAGGACUCCAGAUCCUGUUAAAUCUUAAACACUGACAGCAGUUAAAGCCUUAUUUGCCAACCCAGGAGAAGACGACUAUCAAAAUAAACUGUUCAUGAGACACAGAGCCAGAAAUUAAAACUAUUUAACCCUUCUAGGCCCUGGGACUACCACAGAAGAGACAGGCACAUGAGAUUGUAGGGCUGAUUUUGAGAAAUAAAAUUAGUUUAAAGUUUCUCUAUGAAUUAAACAUUAAUAUCAACGUUACAUGGAUGCAAGGCCAGCAUCUGGGCCCCUGUGUCAGAUUAACAAGAUUUUCUUGGAGUAUUAACUAACACUUUAAUUUAAAAAAUUGUAAAAUAUUAUAAAAAAGUUUAUAGAAAUUAUAUGUUAUAGUCAAGUGAUUAAAAUUUAAUAGAUUUGUUUAUAAGAUUUGUGAGACAUUUAAUUGGCCUCAUGCUGUCUUUGUCAGGGCUUAUUGUUUGGGGAAGUAAGUCUCCUCUCUCAAAGAAUAAAGGUUUUUGCCUUUUUUUGAAAUCUUCGAGUUAUCACUUUGGCUAAAUGAAUGACUGUCUUUAUAAUGACCUGCGAUCCUAUUUUGUGAUAUCAAGUGUUUUAAACUUUAGAUAUUUGACAAACUUUCCAAAAUCAUAUUCUAAAUUCAGUCCUUUUGACCUCAUUAAUGUUUUGAUAUUAGGUCUCAUGAAGUCC